CAGUAGCCGCGGUAAUACAGAGGGUGCAAGCGUUAAUCGGAAUUACUGGGCGUAAAGCGCGCGUAGGUGGUUCGCCAAGUUGGAUGUGAAAUCCCCGGGCUCAACCUGGGAACUGCAUCCAAAACUGGCGAGCUAGAGUAUGGUAGAGGGUGGUGGAAUUUCCUGUGUAGCGGUGAAAUGCGUAGAUAUAGGAGGGAACACCAGUGGCGAAGGCGGCUCACUGGCUCGAUUCUGACGCUGAGGUGCGAAAGCGUGGGGAGCAAACAGGAUUAGAUACCCGCGUAGUCCCUGUCUCUUAUAC
rnacentral:rRNA from 1 species